UACGGGGGGGGCAAGCGUUGUUCGGAAUUACUGGGCGUAAAGGGCUCGUAGGCGGCCAACUAAGUCACACGUGAAAUCCCCAGGCUUAACCUGGGAACUGCGUGUGAUACUGGAUGGCUUGAAUCCGGGAGAGGGAUGCGGAAUUCCAGGUGUAGCGGUGAAAUGCGUAGAUAUCUGGAGGAACACCGGUGGCGAAGGCGGCAUCCUGGACCGGUAUUGACGCUGAGGCGCGAAAGCCAGGGGAGCAAACGGG
rnacentral:rRNA from 1 species